AUGAAAUAAUGAAAUUAUGUUGAUCUGCCACCCUGAAUGAUACCAAAAUCAAUUCACAUAUGAUUGUGUUUUACAUUUUUCAUCCAUUUGAUUUAUUUCUGUACUUUGUUUUCAGAAAUUCUAUAUUGAAGCUAUGAAAACUAAAAAGAUUAGAUAAUGAUAUGAUAUUUUCAUCCCGUUUGAUUUUAUUGGUGUCUGUCCCUUAAUCUAGUUCUCUUCAUAUUUGAUGAAUCUAUGAGUUUGAAAUAACUUGGACUCUCAGAUGCUUGUCUGGCCACGUUAGCAUCUGGAGGUUAGUGAUACUGCUAUGCCACUUGCCUCUAUUGGCAUUCUUGUUGGUUGUGAGAAUUUCAUGCAUAUGUUUUGGUUCCAAUAUUCUUCAUUUUCUGGUUAAAAGGGAUGUCACUUGAUCUGGUCUUGUGGUCGGUCAUGUUGAUGUUGAUUUCAUGAAAACAAAACUUUUGCUUUGAUUAUUUGUUUGUUACUAACUCUGUUUGUACCACUAUCUUAUUUUCUUGCACCGGUGCUGCUGAUUUAUUUCCACAAGAACUUGAGAUGCAUCAAGAGUUUAAGCAGCAGUAGCAACCUGUGGUAGACAGAAUAGUGGCAUUUGAGGGAAGGAAUUUAUUAUCUGAUGAGGCAAACAAGGAGAAUUUAGAGUCACCUGAACCUUCCAGCUCUCUUAUAAAGAUAUUGGAAACAGAAUUUGAAUGUCUUCCUGGCUAUAUGAAGGGUCUAGUGACAUGGUAGGAAGAGAUAAAAGAGAUGGAAAGGGAGCAAAUCCGAGAAGGAAUUGAUGAGUUUGGAAUAUUGUAUUCUGAAUUAAGGUCUUGACGUGAUUCGCACUGAUAGGACAUUGGUCUUUUAUGAGAAGCAAGAGAACUUGUCAAAAUUAUGGGAUAUUCUUGCAGUUUAUGCUUGGCUAGA